rnacentral:rRNA from 1 species
AUUGAACGCUGGCGGCAGGCUUAACACAUGCAAGUCGAGCGAGAGGCGGACGGGUGAGUAAUGUCUGGGAAACUGCCUGAUGGAGGGGGAUAACUACUGGAAACGGUAGCUAAUACCGCAUACCAUCAGAUGUGCCCAGAUAGUAUUAGCUAGUAGUUGGGGUAAUGGCUCACCUAGGCGACGAUCCCUAGCUGGUCUGAGAGGAUGACCACCAACACUGGAACUGGGACACGGCCCAGAGUCCUACGGGAGGAAGCAGUGGGGAAUAUUGCACAAUGGGCGCAAUCCUGAUGCAGCCAGUCCGCUGGUGUGAAGAAGGCCUUUGGGUUGUAAAGUACUUUCAGCGGGGAGGCGUUACCCGCAGAAGAAGCACCGGCUAACUCCGUGCCAGCAGCCGCGGUAAUUC